GGGGGCCCUCGUCUUACCCAGCAGUGUUUGGGUGCGGUUGGGAGUCUCUAAUACUGCCGGGUAAUGAUGGAGGCCCCU
rnacentral:pre_miRNA from 10 species